rnacentral:misc_RNA from 1 species
GAUGAAGAACGCAGCGAAAUGCGAUAAGUAGUGUGAAUUGCAGAAUUCAGUGAAUCAUCGAAUCUUUGAACGCACAUUACGCCCUUUGGUAUUCCAAAGGGCAUGCCUGUUCGAGCGUCAUUUGUACCCUCAAGCUUUGCUUGGUGUUGGGCGUCUUGUCUCUAGCUUUGCUGGAGACUCGCCUUAAAGUAAUUGGCAGCCGGCCUACUGGUUUCGGAGCGCAGCACAAGUCGCACUCUCUAUCAGCAAAGGUCUAGCAUCCAUUAAGCCUUUUUUUCAACUUUUGACCUCGGAUCAGGUAGGGAUACCCGCUGAACUUAAGCAUAUCAAUAAGCGGAGGA